rnacentral:rRNA from 1 species
UACGUAGGGUGCGAGCGUUGUCCGGAAUUAUUGGGCGUAAAGAGCUCGUAGGCGGCCUGUUACGUCUGCUGUGAAUGCCCGGGGCUCAACUCCGGGUCUGCAGUGGAUACGGGCAGGCUAGAGUCCGGCAGGGGAGACUGGAAUUCCUGGUGUAGCGGUGAAAUGCGCAGAUAUCAGGAGGAACACCGGUGGCGAAGGCGGGUCUCUGGGCCGGUACUGACGCUGAGGAGCGAAAGCGUGGGGAGCGAACAGG